GUGAGAACUCAUAGAACCGCUUCAGCUUGGCCACCAGGGGGCAGACGGCGUUCCAGGCCUUCUCCUGCAGCGCGAGGUCACCUGGGUUCUGAAUGGCCUGCAGGACUGCAGCUCGGCCAGGAUCCCAUGAGCCUCCUCCAGCACGGCGCUAACUUGAUUCCACACGGCGGUUUCUGCCUCGGUGGGCUGGGCAUCUGAGAGGGGAUGAAGAAGGGAAGGAGAGGAGGAUGGGAGGUCACUCGUCCCUUCCUGUUUGCUGUUGCAUGAGUGGCACAACUUAAAAGAAUGCCCAAGCGGAGAUUCGAACCCAGGUAUUCCCGAUCUCCCGUGUGGCCAAAAUGCUAACCCCUCGGCCACCACUACCAUGACGGCAGACGUGCCAUGGCUGACUUCAUGACUUGAGGUAGUAUUAAGAUACAGAGGCAGGGGAGCCUGGCGAUGGUGUCUCCUUGCUCCAACUCCUCUAAGCAGAUGGCACAUUCACCAGAAUCUCUGGACAGGAUGUCCUCUGAGGGGACAAAAUGCAGCAAUGUAAGGCGCGAUUUGCUGAAACACAUGAGCAGAUGCUUCUCUAUUUCAUCCGACGCCAUGAACUUGGAGCAUACGGGACAAUGGAAACCUGGAGAGGAAGCAAGCCACAAAUGAGGAGGAAGAUGAAGAAGAUGAGGACCCAGAAGUGCUUGCAUGUCCAU